rnacentral:lncRNA from 1 species
AUAGAGACCCUGCUGAGUGGGUGUUCUGCCCUUCCUCCCAUUCCAUCUCUGUCUCAUUUCUGUCUCUUGACUCUAGCCCAAAGCAACCCAUGGUCUGCUGGCCUGACUCUGUCCAGGAUGCCAGCCCAUGGAAUGGUGCCACCCAUAUCCAGGGUGGUUCCUCCCUCUUUAGUUGAACCUUUCUGGAAAUACUCUUGCCAACACAGUCAGAGAUGUAUCUCCGUCCGAGGUGAUUCCAAAUCCAGUUCCUAGGAUUGAGCUCAGGCCCUGUGCUUGUACAAGAAGCACUUUACUGAGGUGUUACCCUGAGGUGAUACCCUGCCCUGUUGCUGAGUUCUUACAAGAAAGACUAGGGCACUGAGCAAGAACUGGACUCUAACUUGGAAUGGGCACAUCUGGAUGGGCUGAGGUCGCUGUCCUCUGCAGGCUGCCGCAGCACCCGGUCCAGGUCCCUGAGUGCCCGGUCAUACUCCCGCAGCUGGGUCAAGCAGGCCACUCGGAGACGCAGAUGCGGUCUGGGAAGGGGACACAGGAAAAGAGUUAAGUCUCUGAAUAUAGCGAGCCUCUGCUGGUGUCUGUCCGCUCCCUGUGCAGAAGACACCCACACUCUGGAGGCCUGGUCAUGGGUAGGGGUAAGGGACUGGUUCCCUUCUGUGACUGAGAGCUGCGGCUGGCCCAGCAUGUCUGUUUCCCCAUAGUUCCUAGGCAAAGCAGCGGCAGGUCUGCACCGGAAGUUGCUAAGCGUCUUUAUCUCCUCUUCCCUGAUCCUGUUUCUCUAGGCCACUAUGAAGGCAGGCAACUUCAUCUCAUCAUAAAUCCAUUAGACUCACAGGAUUCCUCCCCUGCUCAAUAACCCACAACAGUUCCACAGAACCUAAAGACGGGCCUCUGGGUUCCUCCCUCCCCCUUUUAACUGCAUCCAGUGUCACAGCAUACAAGACCAUAAACUCUAAAGCCUUCAGUGGCUCCGAGGAUCCAGGGCAGAGUCACUCCUACAGGGGGCAAAUACCACAGAUAUUUUUGCUAGGAGGGACGAAGGGUUCUGGGGCCUACAGGGACAGAGGACCUGCUUUCCAGCAUGGGGUGCGGCGCCAUCUCCCAACACUAGACUGAAGGCUCCCACGGAGGACUCAAGGCUCUGAGGCUCGCACAAAACCGCCCGCUUUUCUUGUUCCCUGCUGUGUGACCCUGCAAGAGCCUCAUGCCCUCCUUGCUGCAUGAUUCACGUGGCUGCUGGGUACAGAUAGAAGGGAUGCAAAAGCU